rnacentral:rRNA from 4 species
UGUACACACCGCCCGUCACACCAUGGGAGUGGGUUGCAAAAGAAGUAGGUAGCUUAACCUUCGGGAGGGCGCUUACCACUUUGUGAUUCAUGACUGGGGUGAAGUCGUAACAAGGUAACCGUAGGGGAACCUGCGGUUGGAUCACCUCCUUACCUUAAAGAAGC